rnacentral:rRNA from 1 species
CACGGAGUUAGCCGGUGCUUAUUCGUAUAGUACCUUCAGCUACCCUCACGAGGGUAGGUUUAUCCCUAUACAAAAGAAGUUUACAACCCAUAGGGCCGUCGUCCUUCACGCGGGAUGGCUGGAUCAGGCUCUCACCCAUUGUCCAAUAUUCCUCACUUCUGCCUCCCGUAGGAGUCUGGUCCGUGUCUCAGUACCAGUGUGGGGGAUCACCCUCUCAGGCCCCCUAAAGAUCGUAGACUUGGUGAGCCGUUACCUCACCAACUAUCUAAUCUUGCGCGUGCCCAUCUCUAUCCACCGGAGUUUUCAAUACCGAAUGAUGCCAUCCAGUAUAUUAUGGGGUAUUAAUCUUCCUUCGAAAGGCUAUCCCCAGAUAAAGCAGGUUGCACACGUGUUCCGCACCGUACGCCGCUCUCAAGAUCCCGAAAGAUCUCACCGCUCGGCUUGCAUGUGUUAGCCUCCGCUAGCGUUCACUCUGAGCCAGGAUACAAACUCUCUAGAGACUACGG